UACGAAGGGGGCUAGCGUUGCUCGGAAUCACUGGGCGUAAAGGGCGCGUAGGCGGGCUCUUAAGUCAGGGGUGAAAUCCCACGGCUCAACCGUGGAAGUGCAUUCGAAACUGCAGGGCUAGAGUCCUGGAGAGGAAGGUGGAAUGCUUGGUGUAGAGGUGAAAUUCGUAGAUAUCAAGCGGAACACCGGUGGCGAAGGCGGCCUUCUGGACAGUGACUGACGCUGAGACGCGAAAGCGUGGGGAGCAAACAGG
rnacentral:rRNA from 1 species